GGUGGGAGGGAGGUCCCCAGUUGUCUGGUGAAGGGUAGGGACAGUCACAUGGGUCAUGCAGCCUCUGUCGGCACCUAAACUGGGCCUGGGGGGUGGCCUCACACAGUGCUGGCAACACAGGUGUCAGACAGCCAGGAACACUUUAUUUGUGAGAAACAGGCAUUACUGAAAAGCUUGAAAAACAGGAAGGAGCUGAAGCUCCGACUCCCUGUUUGUGCACCUCCUUGGUAUAAGUGACAUUUUCUCCUGCUGAAACACUAAAACUGACAGUGUCAUCAGCUCUGGAGCUGGGGACGAGACUUGCCAAUUGUGUCAGAAGCAAAAGCCCCUUCUCUGCAUAUCCAAAGAGGCAGUGGUGGGAGUUGUACUUUGAAACAGACAGCAACAGGACAGCAUGAGAGUACAGUGGUCACAUUUCUUCCACAUAGAGGUAUCCUAGAAAAGCUGGUAGCCUGUGAUGUGCUUGCUAGGGAAAAGAUGUAGAGAAGAGACUGAAUCCAGAUCUCAAAGCUGUUUCAGUUCUGAAGUAGGAUUUGCAAAUGCACU